rnacentral:tRNA from 1 species
GGGCUCGUAGUGUUUAAUGACAGCACGCUCUGCUUAUAACGGAAGAAGUGCCGGUUAGACUCCGGUCGAGUCCA